CUUCCAGACUCCUACGGGAGGCAGCAGUAGGGAAUCUUCGGCAAUGGACGGAAGUCUGACCGAGCAACGCCGCGUGAGUGAAGAAGGUUUUCGGAUCGUAAAGCUCUGUUGUAAGAGAAGAACGAGUGUGAGAGUGGAAAGUUCACACUGUGACGGUAUCUUACCAGAAAGGGACGGCUAACUACGUGCCAGCAGCCGCGGUAAUACGUAGGUCCCGAGCGUUGUCCGGAUUUAUUGGGCGUAAAGCGAGCGCAGGCGGUUAGAUAAGUCUGAAGUUAAAGGCUGUGGCUUAACCAUAGUACGCUUUGGAAACUGUUUAACUUGAGUGCAAGAGGGGAGAGUGGAAUUCCAUGUGUAGCGGUGAAAUGCGUAGAUAUAUGGAGGAACACCGGUGGCGAAAGCGGCUCUCUGGCUUGUAACUGACGCUGAGGCUCGAAAGCGUGGGGAGCAAACAGGAUUAGAUACCCUGGUAGUCCACGCCGUAAACGAUGAGUGCUAGGUGUUAGACCCUUUCCGGGGUUUAGUGCCGCAGCUAACGCAUUAAGCACUCCGCCUGGGGAGUACGACCGCAAGGUUGAAACUCAAAGGAAUUGACGGGGGCCCGCACAAG
rnacentral:rRNA from 1 species